GACGAACGCUGGCGGCGUGCUUAACACAUGCAAGUCGAACGGAAAGGCCCUGCUUUUGUGGGGUGCUCGAGUGGCGAACGGGUGAGUAACACGUGAGUAACCUGCCCUUGACUUUGGGAUAACUUCAGGAAACUGGGGCUAAUACCGGAUAGGAGCUCCUGCUGCAUGGUGGGGGUUGGAAAGUUUCGGCGGUUGGGGAUGGACUCGCGGCUUAGCAGCUUGUUGGUGGGGUAGUGGCUUACCAAGGCUUUGACGGGUAGCCGGCCUGAGAGGGUGACCGGCCACAUUGGGACUGAGAUACGGCCCAGACUCCUACGGGAGGCAGCAGCGGGGAAUAUUGCACAAUGGGCGGAAGCCUGAUGCAGCAACGCCGCGUGCGGGAUGACGGCCUUCGGGUUGUAAACCGCUUUCGCCUGUGACGAAGCGUGAGUGACGGUAAUGGGUAAAGAAGCACCGGCUAACUACGUG
rnacentral:rRNA from 1 species